rnacentral:rRNA from 1 species
GGUACUCGUUAAGGCUGAGCUGUGAUGGGGAGAAGACAUUGUGUCUUCGAGUCGUUGAUUUCACACUGCCGAGAAAAGCCUCUAGAUAGAAAAUAGGUGCCCGUACCGCAAACCGACACAGGUAGUCAAGAUGAGAAUUCUAAGGUGAGCGAGCGAACUCUCGUUAAGGAACUCGGCAAAAUGACCCCGUAACUUCGGGAGAAGGGGUGCUCUUUAGGGUUAACGCCCAGAAGAGCCGCAGUGAAUAGGCCCAAGCGACUGUUUAUCAAAAACACAGGUCUCUGCUAAACCGUAAGGUGAUGUAUAGGGGCUGACGCCUGCCCGGUGCUGGAAGGUUAAGAGGAGUGGUUAGCUUCUGCGAAGCUACGAAUCGAAGCCCCAGUAAACGGCGGCCGUAACUAUAACGGUCCUAAGGUAGCGAAAUUCCUUGUCGGGUAAGUUCCGACCCGCACGAAAGGCGUAACGAUUUGGGCACUGUCUCAACGAGAGACUCGGUGAAAUCAUAGUACCUGUGAAGAUGCAGGUUACCCGCGACAGGACGGAAAGACCCCGUGGAGCUUUACUGUAGCCUGAUAUUGAAAUUCGGCACAGCUUGUACAGGAUAGGUAGGAGCCUUUGAAACGUGAGCGCUAGCUUACGUGGAGGCGCUGGUGGGAUACUACCCUAGCUGUGUUGGCUUUCUAACCCGCACCACUUAUCGUGGUGGGAGACAGUGUCAGGCGGGCAGUUUGACUGGGGCGGUCGCCUCCUAAAAGGUAACGGAGGCGCUCAAAGGUUCCCUCAGAAUGGUUGGAAAUCAUUCAUAGAGUGUAAAGGCAUAAGGGAGCUUGACUGCGAGACCUACAAGUCGAGCAGGGUCGAAAGACGGACUUAGUGAUCCGGUGGUUCCGCAUGGAAGGGCCAUCGCUCAACGGAUAAAAGCUACCCCGGGGAUAACAGGCUUAUCUCCCCCAAGAGUUCACAUCGACGGGGAGGUUUGGCACCUCGAUGUCGGCUCAUCGCAUCCUGGGGCUGUAGUCGGUCCCAAGGGUUGGGCUGUUCGCCCAUUAAAGCGGUACGCGAGCUGGGUUCAGAACGUCGUGAGACAGUUCGGUCCCUAUCCGUCGUGGGCGUAGGAAAUUUGAGAGGAGCUGUCCUUAGUACGAGAGGACCGGGAUGGACAUACCUCUGGUGUACCAGUUGUCGUGCCAACGGCAUAGCUGGGUAGCUAUGUGUGGACGGGAUAAGUGCUGAAAGCAUCUAAGCAUGAAGCCCCCCUCAAGAUGAGAUUUCCCAACUUCGGUUAUAAGAUCCCUCAAAGAUGAUGAGGUUAAUAGGUUCGAGGUGGAAGCAUGGUGACAUGUGGAGCUGACGAAUACUAAUCGAUCGAAGACUUAAUCAAAA